rnacentral:SRP_RNA from 1 species
GCCAGACAUGGUAGUGCACACCUAUAAUCCCAGCCACUUGGGAUUAUAGAGCCUGAGACAGAUGGAUCGCUUGAGUCCAAAAGUUCUGGACUAUAGUGUGCGAUGUCCAUCAGUUUUCUGCACUAAGUUUGGCAUCAAUAUGGUGACCUCCCAGGAGCCAGGGGCUACCAGGUUGCCUAAGGAGGGGUGAACUAGCCCAGUCAGAAAUGAAGCAGGUCAAAAGUCCCCACUGAAAUAGUAGAAUUGUGCCCCCCAUGACUAGUCACUGCAUUCCAGCCUGGGCAACAUAGAUCCCAUCUCUA